UUCAGACAUAAAAAAAAUAGCUGGAUCAUAUCAGAACGUUAGGGCUGUGUAUUCGACCCAGCACACAGAUAUUCCACAGAGGACAAUCAGUAGAAGUAAUUUAAUGCGUGCACGACUCAACAGGAGGGGGAUAGCCAAGGCUGAGCCCGGGGUUUCGGGGAAGGGGGCGCGAGCUCCACAGGGGAAUCCCGUUGACCCUAGUGGGGACGCCGGUGCGUCGCAAGGCGCAUGGCAGGUAGGAACGUGGACAGUGGGAUCUGUACAGAGGAACCAGGGUUAGACAGAGAGAACAACUGUGGGCUGGGCGGGACGGCCGGGAGGAGCGCUCUCUCACCACUCUCACCUGUGGCUAAUCGGCAAUCUGGCACCAGUUAAAGCCUGCUGUCUCCUGGGCCUCCGUGUCGGAUCGUUGUCUCCUGUCGACGCAACACACCAGGACACGCCAGCACGUUUGUUCCCUGCACGGCCUUCCACCGUACCUGCCCGCAGACCACCCCCGAGCCUCUCCUCAGGAGAAAUAAAUCCUUUCUUUUUGACCUCAAAACUGUGUCUCCGGUUUACUUUUGGAUCCAGUCCUCAUUAACCCUAAUAGAUUGAAAGACAGCCUCUCCUUUGUCAAAAACAAGGGAACCGACACCACUAGUAAGAAAGGAACGCUUAUUAUACUGUGCUUUCUCCCCUAGCAGGUCUCCGUAGAUCGUAGUUCCUUCUGGACCCUGGUCUUGACACCUACCGUGGCCAUGCUGACGCCUGCUGCUGCCAUCAUCAUCAUCAUCAUUAUUUUAGAUAUUAAUCAUAUUACUAUACUCGUAAACCAACAUUACCCUCUCCUAAAGUCUCUGUGCUCUCGCUCCCCACAGGCUUCUGUAGAUGGGGGUUCUAUCUGAUGGUGGUUGCCCCUGCAGUGGUCCUGCUGUGCGCCUGGCUUACUACUCACAAUUACUUGAAUCAUUUCUGUCAUAGGAAUUGCAUGUAUUAUACAUUGUUCAUUCUGUACACAUGGCAUCCAUUGUUGUCUGUCCAUCCCGGGAGUGGGAUCCCUCCUCUGACGUUCUCCCUAAGGUUUCUUCCCUUUUUUCCCUCUUGGAAGGGUUUUUUCAUUUGUUGGAGAGUUUUUCCUGUGCCGAUGGUGGGUUUCGGGACAGAGGAUGUUGUAUGUGUACAGACUGUAAAGCCCUCUGAGGCAAAUUUGUAAUUUGCGAUUUUGGGCUAUACAAAAUAAAAUGAAUUGAAUUGAAUUAUUAGCACUCCCAA
ensembl:lncRNA